rnacentral:rRNA from 1 species
CGCUGGCGGCACGCUUAACACAUGCAAGUCGAACGAGAUCUUCGGAUCUAGUGGCAGACGGGUGAGUAACGCGUGGGAACCUGCCCAGUAGUAGAGAAUAACUUGGGGAAACUUAAGCUAAUACUUUAUACGUCCUUCGGGAGAAAGCUUUAUGCGCUAUUGGAUGGGCCCGCGUUAGAUUAGUUUGUUGGUGAGGUAACGGCUCACCAAGGCGACGAUCUAUAGCUGGUCUGAGAGGAUGAUCAGCCACACUGGGACUGAGACACGGCCCAGACUCCUACGGGAGGCAGCAGUGGGGAAUAUUGGACAAUGGGGGCAACCCUGAUCCAGCGAUGCCGCGUGAGUGAUGAAGGCCCUAGGGUUGUAAAACUCUUUCGUCAGGGAAGAUAAUGACGGUACCUGAAGAAGAAGAUCCGGCUAACUCCGUGCCAGCAGCCGCGGUAAUACGGAGGGGUCUAGCGUUAUUCGGAAUUACUGGGCGUAAAGCGAGCGUAGGCGGAUUUGUAAGUUGGAGGUGAAAUCCCAGAGCUUAACUCUGGAACUGCCUUCAAAACUACAUUUCUUGAGUUUGGUAGAGGAGAGUGGAAUUCCUAGUGUAGAGGUGAAAUUCGUAGAUAUUAGGAGGAACACCAGUGGCGAAGGCGACUCUCUGGGCCAAUACUGACGCUGAGGUUCGAAAGCAUGGGUAGCGAACAGGAUUAGAUACCCUGGUAGUCCAUGCAGUAAACGAUGAGUGCUAGAUGUUGGGAAUUUAAAUUUCCAGUAUCGCAGUUAACGCGUUAAGCACUCCGCCU